CAACAGGGAUUGCCCUAGUAACGGCGAGUGAAGCGGCAACAGCUCAAAUUUGAAAUCUGGCUCUCGGGCCCGAGUUGUAAUUUGUAGAGGAUACUUUUGAUGCGGUGCCUUCCGAGUUCCCUGGAACGGGACGCCAUAGAGGGUGAGAGCCCCGUCUGGUUGGAUGCCAAAUCUCUGUAAAGUUCCUUCGACGAGUCGAGUAGUUUGGGAAUGCUGCUCUAAAUGGGAGGUAUAUGUCUUCUAAAGCUAAAUACCGGCCAGAGACCGAUAGCGCACAAGUAGAGUGAUCGAAAGAUGAAAAGCACUUUGAAAAGAGAGUUAAAAAGUACGUGAAAUUGUUGAAAGGGAAGCGUUUAUGACCAGACUUGGGCUUGGUUGAUCAUCUGGGGUUCUCCCCAGUGCACUCUUCCAGUCCAGGCCAGCAUCAGUUUUCGCCGGGGGAUAAAGACUUCGGGAAUGUGGCUCUCUUCGGGGAGUGUUAUAGCCCGUUGUGUAAUACCCCGGCGGGGACUGAGGUUCGCGCAUCUGCAAGGAU
rnacentral:rRNA from 1 species